GCUCGCUCGGGGGCGCGCUGUUCCUCUCUUUAGUUCAAUCACGCUCGGUCACGUGACGCGCACACGUUUAUGAGGUAGCAGUCAGAAGUGAGCUGUCAUAGAGGGUAACAGCUCUGAGUUUUCUUCUGUAAUGCCUGAAGAGUUUGGAGAACACCUGAUAAGAGAUCAGAAACCAUUUUCUUCAUCCGGAAUCACUCCAGACCCUUUAGAUUCACAGCUCCAGAAUCUAUGAUGCCAUGUGUCUAAACAAGAUGUCCAGGACCUCCAGCAGAAAUAUAGGCCCACAACAUUAAAGAUCCAGCAGUAUGUUUAACCAUGGGCAUGGGCUACUUUUUUAUCCCUGUUUGCACUAAACCCAUCUGGUGGGUUUGCUGCCAAAAAGCUCUUUUUUCAGUUUCAUCUGACCAUAGAAGCCAGUGCCAUUUGAAGUUCCAGACGUGUCUGACUGAAUAUGCUGGAGUUUGUUUUUGGAUGAGCGAGGAGAAUUUUCCUUGAAACCCUCCCAAACAACAUGUGGUGAUCUAGGGGAUGUUUGAUAUAUGUUUUUUUAGGUUUCUGACCCCGAGACUCAACUAAUCUCUGCAAUUCUCCAGCUGUGACUCUUGGAGAGUCUUUAGCCACUCAAACUCUCCUUCUCACCGUGCAUUAGGACGAUAUAGACACAUGUUCUCUUCCAGGCAGAUUUGUAACAUCUUUAGUUGAUUGGAACCUCUUAAUUAUUACCCUGAUGGUGGAAAUGGGAAUUUUCACUGCUUUAACACUUUUCUUACAGGCACUUUCUAUUUUGUGAUGCUCAGCAAUCUUGUUCUGCACAUCAGAACUAUAUUCUUAGGUAUUACUCCUUGUGAUGGAUGAUUAAGGGAAUUUGGCCUUUGUGUUCCUUAUAUUUAUAAAAAUUGGAAGUAGGAAAUUUUAUUAUUAGGAAGUAUUAUUCCUUAUUUCCUUUCAGGAAUCCAGAAAAUGUCAUUACCCAAUUUCAGAUGGAGUCAUACAGCUGCAGCUCACAUGAAUGAGAGUGGCAUGUUUGAGGU